UACGUAGGGUGCAAGCGUUGUCCGGAAUUAUUGGGCGUAAAGAGCUCGUAGGCGGUCUGUCGCGUCGGAUGUGAAAACCCGGGGCUUAACCCCGGGCCUGCAUUCGAUACGGGCAGACUCGAGUGUGGUAGGGGAGACUGGAACUCCUGGUGUAGCGGUGAAAUGCGCAGAUAUCAGGAGGAACACCGGUGGCGAAGGCGCCUAUCUGGCCCGAUACUGACGCUGAGGCGCGAAAGCUAGGGGAGCAAACGGG
rnacentral:rRNA from 1 species